GCUGCGGCAGCGACACUAUGUGUUGUUGGGUAGGGGAGCGUUCUGUAAGCCUGUGAAGGUGUGUCGUGAGGCAUGCUGGAGGUAUCAGAAGUGCGAAUGCUGACAUAAGUAACGAUAAAGCGGGUGAAAAGCCCGCUCGCCGGAAGACCAAGGGUUCCUGUCCAACGUUAAUCGGGGCAGGGUGAGUCGACCCCUAAGGCGAGGCCGAAAGGCGUAGUCGAUGGGAAACGGGUUAAUAUUCCCGUACUUGGUGUUACUGCGAAGGGGGGACGGAGAAGGCUAUGUUGGCCGGGCGACGGUUGUCCCGGUUUAAGCGUGUAGGUGUGUGUUCCAGGUAAAUCCGGUUCACUUUAACACUGAGGCGUGACGACGAGGCACUACGGUGCUGAAGCAACAAAUGCCCUGCUUCCAGGAAAAGCCUCUAAGCAUCAGGUAACAUCAAAUCGUACCCCAAACCGACACAGGUGGUCAGGUAGAGAAUACCAAGGCGCUUGAGAGAACUCGGGUGAAGGAACUAGGCAAAAUGGUGCCGUAACUUCGGGAGAAGGCACGCUGACACGUAGGUGAAGUGAUUUACUCAUGGAGCUGAAGUCAGUCGAAGAUACCAGCUGGCUGCAACUGUUUAUUAAAAACACAGCACUGUGCAAACACGAAAGUGGACGUAUACGGUGUGACGCCUGCCCGGUGCCGGAAGGUUAAUUGAUGGGGUCAGCGCAAGCGAAGCUCCUGAUCGAAGCCCCGGUAAACGGCGGCCGUAACUAUAACGGUCCUAAGGUAGCGAAAUUCCUUGUCGGGUAAGUUCCGACCUGCACGAAUGGCGUAAUGAUGGCCAGGCUGUCUCCACCCGAGACUCAGUGAAAUUGAACUCGCUGUGAAGAUGCAGUGUACCCGCGGCAAGACGGAAAGACCCCGUGAACCUUUACUAUAGCUUGACACUGAACAUUGAGCCUUGAUGUGUAG
rnacentral:rRNA from 1 species